CGGCGGACGGGUGAGUAACACGCGGAUAACCUACCUAUAAGACUGGGAUAACUUCGGGAAACCGGAGCUAAUACCGGAUAAUAUAUUGAACCGCAUGGUUCAAUAGUGAAAGACGGUUUUGCUGUCACUUAUAGAUGGAUCCGCGCCGCAUUAGCUAGUUGGUAAGGUAACGGCUUACCAAGGCAACGAUGCGUAGCCGACCUGAGAGGGUGAUCGGCCACACUGGAACUGAGACACGGUCCAG
rnacentral:rRNA from 1 species